CGGGAUAUAGCGCAGUUUGGUAGCGCGCCUGCUUUGGGAGCAGGAUGCCGCAGGUUCAAAUCCUGCUAUCCCGA
rnacentral:tRNA from 2 species